UACGAAGGGGGCUAGCGUUGCUCGGAAUCACUGGGCGUAAAGGGUGCGUAGGCGGGUCUUUAAGUCAGGGGUGAAAUCCUGGAGCUCAACUCCAGAACUGCCUUCGAUACUGGGAAGCUUGAGUCCGGGAGAGGUGAGUGGAACUGCGAGUGUAGAGGUGAAAUUCGUAGAUAUUCGCAAGAACACCAGUGGCGAAGGCGGCUCACUGGCCCGGUACUGACGCUGAGGUGCGAAAGCGUGGGGAGCAAACAGG
rnacentral:rRNA from 1 species